GACGAACGCUGGCGGCGUGCCUAAUACAUGCAAGUCGAGCGGACAGAAGGGAGCUUGCUCCCGGAAGUUAGCGGCGGACGGGUGAGUAACACGUGGGCAACCUACCCUGUAGAUCGGGAUAACAUCGAGAAAUCGGUGCUAAUACCGGAUAAUCAUUUGAAGUGCAUGCUUCGAAUGUAAAAGAUGGCUCCGGCUAUCACUACGGGAUGGGCCCGCGGCGCAUUAGCUAGUUGGUAAGGUAAUGGCUUACCAAGGCAACGAUGCGUAGCCGACCUGAGAGGGUGAUCGGGCACACUGGGACUGAGACACGGCCCAGACUCCUACGGGAGGCAGCAGUAGGGAAUCUUCCGCAAUGGGCGAAAGUCUGACGGAGCAACGCCGGGUGAGUGAUGAAGGUUUUCGGAUCGUAAAGCUCUGUUGUUAGGGAAGAACAAGUGCCGUUUGAAUAAGGCGGCACCUUGACGGUACCUAACCAGAAAGCCACGGCUAACUACGUGCCAGCCGCCGCCGUAACAC
rnacentral:rRNA from 1 species